UAAUACGUAGGGUGCGAGCGUUAAUCGGAAUUACUGGGCGUAAAGCGUGCGCAGGCGGCUUCUCAAGUCAGGUGUGAAAUCCCCGGGCUCAACCUGGGAAUUGCGCUUGAAACUGGGUGGCUAGAGUGCGGCAGAGGGAGGUGGAAUUCCUGGUGUAGCAGUGAAAUGCGUAGAUAUCAGGAGGAACACCGAUGGCGAAGGCAGCCUCCUGGGCUGACACUGACGCUCAUGCACGAAAGCGUGGGGAGCAAACAGGAUUAGAUACCCUGGUAGUCCACGCCCUAAACGAUGUCGACUGGUUGUUGGGGGCGAGAGUCCUUAGUAACGAAGCUAACGCGUGAAGUCGACCGCCUGGGGAGUACGGCCGCAAGGUUAAAACUUAAAUGAAUUGACGG
rnacentral:rRNA from 1 species